GCGUGAGAAAGGGGAGGGUCUGGCGCGCAAAUAUCCCCUCACUGCGAAAACGCUCGGAUCCCAGGGGGACUCGGGCCGGAUCAUCGGGUCAUAGCUCUUAGGACGGUGUCGUUUUGUAACCAUUGAGAUUGGCCCAAACGGCGCCGUAUCUGCUCUCAUAUAAAGGCUAAACAAUGCCUUUAUUCCAAAGCCAUUCCAGAACCCUAGCCUACCCCUCCUUUUCUCCUUAGCCGAUCCCUACCUCUUUAGCACCGAUCUACCUUCACACGCAGCACUCGACCAGUUUGGGUUUUGAAGGGCUACCUUGUAGCCUCUAAACUCCCCUUAAAACUCCGAUUUCGAUGGAGCAAAGGAAAACCGAUGGCCCUAAAGCAAGGUACGGUUGUGCGCUUGGGUACGGGGCCGUGUGCUAGCGUUCGGGGCGUGGGCGUGGCGCCAGGAGGCCGUACGGAGGCGUGGAGGUUGGGACUGCUGCGGCGCAAACAAGCUGCUAGGGUUCUACCCUAAUUUUUGAGUCUUGGGUCACUUGGGCUUAUCGUAUUUGGGCUCGGGUUUAUUUGUAAAUGGGUUGAUUUGGGCUUGUAUAGGGUCAUGUAUUAAUUUUGGGUUUUGGACUGUAAAAAGGAUAUUUAAUGGACUGUGGUUAUUUAUUUAUUUAUUUUA